rnacentral:rRNA from 1 species
GCAACCCGACUCCGUGAAGCUGGAUUCGCUAGUAAUCGCGCAUCAGCCAUGGCGCGGUGAAUACGUUCCCGGGCCUUGUACACACCGCCCGUCAAGCCAUGGGAGUCGGGAGUGCCUGAAGUUCGUGACCGUCACAGGAGCGACCUAAGGCAAGACCGAUGACUGGGGCUAAGUCGUAACAAGGUACC